CUUUCUUGGCCAGAGGCGCCGGUUGGACUCACGGGCGGGGCAUGAUGGUGGUGGGUACAGGCACCUCGCUGGCGCUCUCCUCCCUCCUGUCCCUGCUGCUCUUUGCUGGGAUGCAGAUGUACAGCCGUCAGCUGGCCUCCACCGAGUGGCUCACCAUCCAGGGCGGCCUGCUUGGUUCGGGUCUCUUCGUGUUCUCGCUCACUGAGGCACCAGGCUGGCAGAUGCCCACUGGUGCCAUGACCUUUCUGUCUUCACCAUUUAGCUUCAUCUUCUCCAUGAUUGGUCUGUACUACAUCAACAAGAUCUCCUCCACCCUGUACCAGGCAGCAGCUCCAGUCCUCACACCAGCCAAGGUCACAGGCAAGAGCAAGAAGAGAAACUGACCCUGAAUGUUCAAUAAAGUUGAUUCUUUGU
rnacentral:sRNA from 1 species